CAAAACCUGGGAAAAAAAGUUGAUUGAGGAAAGCUGUAAAAUUUUCUAUCCAACAGCAAAGAAUCGAAGUCAACUCCCAGAUCAAACUACCCUUAAGCAGAUGGCAU